CGGCCGCAGCGCCGCCUGCUCAGCGCCCGGGUCAGUAGGAGCCAGUCCUUCGCAGGCGUCCUCGGCAGCCAAGAGCGCGGGCCCAGGAACUUCACGGUCUUCAGCCCACCAGGGCCUCAACGGAAGCCUUUAGUGCUCUCCCGAGUGUCAAGGAUGUUUUCUGUGGCCCACCCAGCCCCCAAGGUGCCACAGCCUGAGAGGCUGGACCUGGUAUAUGCUGCUCUUAAGCGGGGACUGACGUAAGCAAUCCCCUCUUUUAUUCAGUGUCCCAAGAUUCCACAUAGGUUUCUCUCUGCAAGUUUGAAUCUUCCCUAGCCUUGCACCC
rnacentral:lncRNA from 1 species